rnacentral:rRNA from 1 species
GACGAACGCUGGCGGCGUGCUUAACACAUGCAAGUCGAGCGGAGCGGCGAACGGGUGAGUAACGCGUUAGUAACUGCACCCCUCUCUGGGAUAACAGUUGGAAACGGCUGCUAAUACCGGAUAGCGUGGGAUGACUCGCGUCUUAUCAGCUUGUUGGUGGGGUAGUGGCCUACCAAGGCGACGACGGGUAGCCGGCCUGAGAGGGCGACCGGGCACAUUGGGCUGCGUGACGGACCAAACUCCUAUGGGGGGCAGCAGUGGGGAAUAUGGCGCAAUGGGGGAAACCCUGAGGCAGCAACCCGGGUGCGUGAUGACGGCCUUCGGGUUGUAAACCGCUUUCAGCCAUGACGCGGUAGUGGCAGAAGAAGCACCGGCUAACUACGUGCCAGCAGCCGCGGUAAUAC